UCCUGAGAAGAGUUGUUGAUAUUUGUCCUUACUUUCCUGUCAUUUUACUUACUCGUACAUUCCAUGCAUUGACAUUAUUCGACCUGCAUCAUUUUAUGAUGCAGAUAUAUGUGUUAGAGAUCCUCAACAGACACAUCGUUGAAGAUCAUUACUUUCCAUCUAUUUGAUUACGUUGAUUUGGAGGUCCAACGAAAAGGGAAGGCUCAAGUCUUGGAGUGAUUGCUUGAUUAAUUGAGGUUGUGAGUCCGGACCUGCUUGUUCUCCUACUGUUUUCUAUCACAUCCGAGGCUAUCAUUUCGAGUGUUGAGGUAGCUGUUACAUCCAUCUAGCGGACAUCUCUUACUCUUUUAUUAUGUUUUAGUCCUAUUCUAGAGACAAAGACAUUGUGAUUGUAUUUUCUUUCGUACUUCGGUAAUGUAUUAGUGGCUUGUAUACGUGACAACCAGUCUUGGGGAAUUUUGAG